AGAGGUAAAUGAAGGGUGGAAAAGAUUCAAAACUCGCACAUGUACCAAUCCUUCUCCACAGCAUGGCGGAAAAGAUUGCCAGGGACAGAACUUUAUAGAAGAAACUUGCACUCCACCUUAAGAUGGGCCAUAAUAGAGGAAACAAAGUCGAAAUUGUGUGAAAUGGAAUUCAGUGGAACAUCGGAUCGACCGGAGGAAUAUUUAUUGUAAAUUGAACAACUUUGUAAAUAGUGCACUAAGUUAUGCCUCUUGUAAAUUUUUCGGUAUUUAAAUGAAAUGCAAGGUAGCAUUUUACACCACCUUCAAUUUUGAAUUGAAACAACCUUAUUUAUCAUGAAUUGAUUAAUUUGAUUAUCUGUAACCUGUCAUGUUAAGCAAUAUACAUAUCUUGAUGUAAAAGUUCUGAGCGAUCAAAUGAUUGAUUUUUUAAACAUGAAAUGAUUGACAUAUGAAAUAAGUAAUUUUAGAAUUGCAUCAAAUACUCACAAAAUUGUCUAUAAGGCUCUAUGAGAUGUCGAGUAAGAAUUCUUGCAAUUAUUAAGAGCUAAUUAAAGCAUACCAUUAUAAUGUGAGACACCGGAAGACCAAAUACUGUAGUUUUAUAAAAUAAAGUUAUAAAGUAAUAUUUAAGUUUUUUGCAUGUUUAAAAAUGUCUUAUCUGUACAUUAACUGAGGUAUAAAAUACAAGUAUUAUAAUUUCUGUUGAUUUUCUUGUAUACAGUAUAUCUGUUGCAUUUGUUGCUGGAAUUUUGAUACAAAAGACCGGUCAGCAGGGGAGGAUCACUCCUCCAUGGCACCUGAUCCCACGUCUGAUGUUUCGGAGGUCCGUGUUUGCUCUGCUCCUAUUUUAUAUUGUUUUAUGGACUUUGAUAUUGAAUACUGUUCGUUAUCUCCAUAUCCUUCCUCAUGUAUCAAAAAAUCAAAAUAACGAUUUUCAAAAAAGAAUUAUAACAUAUAAUUUUGUUUUUCCAUACUUAUAGCAUCAGAAUAAAGGAUUACUCUACGA